rnacentral:rRNA from 1 species
UACGAAGGGUGCAAACGUUGCUCGGAAUUAUUGGGCGUAAAGCGCACGUAGGCGGCUUUGUAAGUCGGAUGUGAAAUCCCUCGGCUUAACCAAGGAAGUGCAUCCGAAACUACAGAGCUUGAGUACUUAAGAGGAUCGCGGAAUUCCCGGUGUAGAGGUGAAAUUCGUAGAUAUUCGCAAGAACACCAGUGGCGAAGGCGGCUCACUGGCCCGAUACUGACGCUGAGGUGCGAAAGCGUGGGGAGCAAACAGG